rnacentral:lncRNA from 1 species
CAAGCAAAUAAAUAAAUGGAUUGACGCUUAUGAUGGCGCUAAGCGUAUGCAACGAAGCGGUUGGUCGGAGAAUGAUAUUUUGACCCAAGCGCAAGAAUUAUACGCAUAUGGGAAGAAGGGUCAAUUUAAUUUAAUGGCAGAAUGAAAGGCUCUCUGUGAUCAACCACGUUACUGUAGUUAAGCAGGAGGAAAUGUUGGCUCAGGAAGUAGUGGAUCUAAGAGAUCUCGCGAGAGUGAUGCAUGUGGCUCAAACUCUAUAGGAUCGAUUCCCCGUCCAAUGGGUAGGAAGGCAGUUAAAAAAAGGGUAAAAAUAAGAGCACAACAGCUACCUUGGAGGCGAUGGAGAAAGAUUGGGCUGAAUACAAACAAGUCAAGGAGAUAGAGGUUGAACAAUUGAAGCAGAUAGCAUCGAUGCAACAAGAGGCUAAUAAAUUGAGGAAAGAGGAGACUGAAGCUAAGAAAAUUGAAUCAUUUCUAAAGUUAAGUGAAGAGGAGCAUCUCAGUGACCACAAGAAAGAGCUGUUGAAGCGGUUGUCCCAAGAGCUCUUUGGAAAUUAAUUGUCUGUAGUGUUUGCUUUAAUAAUUUGUCAGUGUUGUCAAGUCUGUAGUGUUUGCUUUAAUAAUUUGUCAGUGUUUUUUCAAGUCUGUACUGUUUACUUUAAUAAUUUGUCGGUGGCUUUAAUGUAUGGGUUACCGAGUUUGAAUAUGUAUCACUCAAUUCGAAUCUAGUCCUUAUCCGAUAAUUAACUAUAGUUCAUAUUAUUUCGAAUCCGUCAGUGUCCACCAUUUAAUUUAUCUAUAUAUAUGGACUCAUAGAUCCAUCAUUCAAUGUAUCUCUUCCCAUCUAUUUCAAAUUUCACAAAAAAUGGAUCCACCAGAGUUUGAUCUCGAAGCAUACCUUGAAAAAAGUGAGAGAGAAGACACUUAUAUACUCAACCGCUUUAGGGAUCGUCGAAAUCUAAUAUUGGAGGAUAGUGCACCUCGUGGUAGAAAACAUCUCAGUAGAGAUCAUGCAGGGGCAAACCAAAGGCUAAUUGACGACUACUUCCUCAAUGAGCCUACAUACGACGAUGGAAUAUUCCGUCGCCGGUACCGGAUGCAAAAACAUGUUUUCCUUCGAAUCGUUGCGGACCUUUCAAGUAGUGAUAACUACUUCACCCAGCGAGUUGAUGCAGCGAAGAAAGAAGGUAUAUCGCCCUUAGCAAAAUGCACCACAACAAUGCGAAUGUUAGCAAAUGGUGUGGCAGCAGAUGCAGUCGAUGAGUACAUCAAAAUAGGAGAGACUACAACAUUGGAGUGUUUACGUAGAUUCUGUAAAGGAAUCAUACGAUUGUAUGAGCAAGAGUACCUGAGAGCACCAACCCAAGAGGACC